rnacentral:rRNA from 1 species
UCAGGGUGAACGCNGGCGGCGUGCUUGACACAUGCAAGUCGAACGGUAUGUGGCAACACAUAGAGUGGCGAACGGGUGAGUAACACGUGGGAACGUACCUUCUGCAGGGGGAUAACUGACCGAAAGGACAGCUAAUACCGCAUAAGACCGAGAGGAGAAAGGUGCAACAGCAUCGGCAGAGGAGCGGCCCGCGGACCAUCAGCUAGUUGGUGGGGUAAGAGCCUACCAAGGCAACGACGGAUAGCCGGCGUGAGAGCGUGGCCGGCCACAAGGACACUGAGAUACGGGUCCUACUCCUACGGGAGGCAGCAGUGCGGAAUUUUAGAUAAUGGAGGCAACUCUGAUCUAGCGACGCCGCGUGCAGGAAGAAGGUCUUCGGAUUGUAAACUGCUGUGGUAAGGGAAAAAUGCCAUGUAGAGUGGAAAGCUACAUGGAGGGAUGGUACUUUACUAGAAAGCCCCGGCUAACUACGUGCCAGCAGCCGCGGUAAUACGUAGGGGGCGAGCGUUACCCGGAAUCACUGGGCGUAAAGGGAGCGUAGGUGGCCUGACAUGUCGACUGUGAAAACCCGGAGCUCAACUCCGGACUUGCAGUUGAAACUGCCAGGCUUGAGGACGGUAGAGGAAGACGGAACUGCCAGUGUAGGGGUAAAAUCCUUAGAUAUUGGCAGGAACGCCGGUGACGAAGGUGGUUUUCUGGGCCGGUUCUGACACUGAUGCUCGAAAGCCAGGGGAGCGAACGGGAUUAGAUACCCCGGUAGUCCUGGCCCUAAACGAUGUUCACUAGGUGUGGGGAGCGGAAAGCUUUCCGUGCUAAAGCUAACGCGAUA